rnacentral:tRNA from 1 species
GGACGCAUGGCCCAGUAGUAAGGCGCUCGCCUUCGACAUAGGAUGAGUUCUCCCCAGCGGGAGCGAGAGAUCGUCGAUUCGACCCCGGCUGCGGUCA